GCAGAGAAAAUAUUCAAAAAGUCUGUUGCUUAACAAAUAUCAGCCAGUUUCUCAGGAUACAAUUCUGAAGAAACCUCUUUUUCACUUGAUGACAGUGUCUUCAUCAUAAGUAAUCAAGUUGUUUAAAGAGAAUAAUAACUGACUAAUCCUUAUUCUCGUCUCCAUUCUGCUUUAUGGACACUUUAUCUUUCAGGCAAUUUUGCACAUAGCAGGACUUCAGUGAUUUCAGUGAAAAUAUUAUCUGCUGAGAUGAAGAACUGAGAUUAACUCAUGUUUCUCUUAGUGACUUCACCUUUACUACAAUCAGUUUUAGAAAACAGUCUAUACUUCAGAUCUGAGCUGAGUCACCUUUGCAGAACCAGAUCACCUGUUCCAGACACAGUAGCUUUAGAACUAGAGAAUCAUCUAGGUUGGGAAUACCUUCAAGAUCAUCUGGUUCAUACAUCAACCUGACCUACUGAGUCCAAGCACUGAAUGUUAUCCUUAGAGACACACCUGCAUGUCUCUCAAGUACCUCUGGAGAUGGGGACUUUAUCACUUCCCUGACCAGCCCAUUCCAAUGCUUGAAGUGUACGCAGCUGCUUGUGCUCUCCCGUUGUUAUGCCAGCAGUGAAUGCAGCCUCUGACAUGGUCUCUCAGGCCACCUGUUAGCUGCUGGAAAUAAGGCAUGCUGCAUAUAUAUAUAAAGCAAUUUCAGAAGAUCCUUGUGUACAAGUCCUUAAACAAUAUGUGUAAUUCAGCAAAGCUGGGAAAAAAUUACCUCCUUAUUAUAGGUGCAUUUCAGGCAGCAUACUGGGAACAAACAAUUUUUCAAGCAAGUAUGUCAUGAUUUGCUAGGGAUUCACAGGGUAACAUAAACUCGUAUCAUAGAUGAGAACUAGUGUUUCUGAUCAGUCUAAUUACUCAGCUGGCCAGUAUUGCUGAGCAGAUAUCAAUCAGGAGAGAGUGGUAGCAAUGAAAUUUACACAGAUAUGUGAAGCAGAAGACAUACAACUCUCCCAGAGUAGAAGCUCUGAAAUAAGGAGGAAUGCAUUUGAUGAUGCUUUAAUUCUUUGAGAUGGUGAGCUGAUGUCAAAUGUUAUUUUUGCUUAUGUCCUGCCUUGGAAACAAAAGAGCAGAAGUCUGACGGGGAGCCCUUCUCUCUGCUAUCAAUAGCUGAGGUGGAGAGGUGCAUUCAGAUAAGACUUGUGUUGUUCUGUGGGAUUUUGCACACAUGUAGGCUGGCUGGUCACUUCUGUUGGUCUUUCUGAAGUUGAACGUUUCAGCCUUGCUGCUGACUUCCUCAGCUCUGUUAAACUGGAAGGAGAGAUGAAGAAUAAAACAUGGAUGCUCUGUUUAUCUUGGUUUUAAAUGCCAUAAACAUGUGGCUGAAAAGCUAGUUACAGAAAAUGAUAAGAUUAUCUUAAAAAGAAAAAAAAAAAAAGAUAGAAUCAGGUAAGAUUCUUUUUUUCCAAAAAAUAAAUAAAAAUCCUGCCAAUAGAGAAGCAUACAUUAUGGAUACAAUAAUGGAAAUACAUCUGUUAGUAUUAUGUUUUUAUUAUGAAAUUAUUUUAACUACCAUUACCCUGUCUGAAAGACCUGCUGUUGUCUAUGAUUAAGAUGCUCAAAUUUAGAUUUUUGACAUUAUUUAUCACUUCAUUCUCUUCAUUAAUAGAAGAAUUUGCAUGAUAAUGGGAUCUUUGUUUUUAAGAGUUCAUGAGUUUCUGCCACUUAAAUCCCACUUGAAGCCAUAAACUUCUGUUUAUAAAUUCAUAAUUGCUUGGAGUAGAGGUGAUUAAAAUCUCACAAACAUAGCAUUAUGUUGACUUCAGUCAGUGAACAAGCAGUGAAUGAACUCUGAAAGAACAAGAAUGUUGUUUUCAUGUAAAUAGCCCAACUAAUACAAAGUAAGGUAACAAUAGCUCUUAAAAAAUGGCAGAUUUCACAACAUGGUAGAGUCACAUCUUCCAGUAGAAUAAUUCUCUCUUCUUUCACGAAGUUUUUCUGGUUUCCAGUCUAGAUACAUCGCAAUAAGCACUGCCAAAAUGCUAAUUAAUGUGACAAUUGUGUCCAGUGAACUUUUCUAUCAUCUAAACAAGACAGUAUGUGAAUUUUGCCCAUCACAGUAUCACCAUCAGGUGCAUGUGAAUCUAACAGGAAGUGUCAAAAUUUGGUUUGUGGUGUUAUCUGUUCCCCUGUGUGGUCUGUAUAGCUAUCUUUCCCUAUUUCUUUCAGCAGAGUACAAAAUAUAUUUUCUAACUAUUGCUGUCACUGUGUAAACCCCUAGAAGAGAAUCUUUAAUGCAGGCAGUCAAAGCUUGUGCAGCUAACUGCACAGAAUCUUGUUUCUGGCCCCCAUCAUUCACUGCUGCUUGCCAUAUGCAUUCUGCUGAGAUUGGAACAUGUUUCACACUAUGUAAGUAGGCAAAACAUGGAAAUUCAGAACAUCUAUGAUCUAUCUGAUAAGUUAGACAAGCAUUUCUGAAUUCAGGGUGACUCCUUCCUAAACGUACAGCCCUCUUCAAAUAUUAUACUGCAACAAGAAAGGCAGGUGCAAUUUUGAAUGUUUAUACUGAUGAACACCAAUAAAAAUAUUUUUCCUCCUCAAAAAUCCUAAAGGAUCUUGAAGCUUGUCAGAUCCAAGUUCCCUUUGUGUGGUUCCUGUGCAUCAGUUACCACAGAGAAGAGACUGGCACUAUUUGUGCCCUUACAUCAAAAAUUUUAAACUCAACAUAGUUACCGUGGCCAGGACAGCCACCUACUACAGUCCCUUCUCCCACAAGGCCUUCUCUAUUUUUAAACAGUUCAUUCAGGAGGGAAUCUUUCCUAUGUGGCUCACUCAAUAAUUGUGAUAGGAAAUUAUCUUCAUGAAGAAGGAAGAAGAGUUUGGUAGCACCAUAUCUUCACUGGAUGUCACUUCAGGAAGAGAAAUUUUAGGGAUGUAAAGGGAAACUUAAAAGAGUGAAAAGUUUUUCUUCAGCUGUGGUCAUUAAGAUAUCUGAACUCAAAUAUCUUAUAAGAGGUAGAACAUAUUGUCUAGAUGUUUACAUGCAAAAAAAAAAAAAAAAUGUAUGCCUGUUUUGCUUUUCUAACUAAUUUAUUAUAGAACGUGGCACAAAAUUUCUAGAUAUUGGUGCAUAAACUAAGGGUAUUUUUUUUUCUUUCAUUUACAAAGUACCAGCUUAUAAAGAGAAAAAGAAAAAAGAAAAAAAAAAAAAAAAAGGAAAUCUCUAGUUCAGUUGGACAGAUUUGCAAGGAUCUUCGAAAAUGUGAAGGAAAUGGCUUUCUUCAAUCAGUUGUGUCUGUGUGGAGAGUGAAGGUGAAUAGUCUCAGCUCAGGAGGAAUGUAAUUUGGAAAGGUACGAGCAGCUGAGAAGGGAUUCUCAUGGGCACAGCGUUUGAACACUAAAGUGGCGGCUAUCUUUCCCACUGCAAUAAAAGGGAAGCCGGUAACAAUGGUGUGCUAUAAAAAGCAAAGGAACAUUUUUCUUUGUCAAACAACCACACCUCUCUGGCAGUGCUGCUGCUGUUGCUGCAGUACACUGGCUGAAAUCCACUCUGCCUUUGAACUCUACUGUUACAGAAUUUCAAUUAAAACUGAAAACCACACAAAGGUUGUGGGCAUAAAGAAUACCAAAAAGACACAUCCAUACCAUUGAUUGUUUUUGUUUUUCUUGGUCUGAUUAGGAAAUAAUGAUUUAAGCUGAUGGUGAGAUCCCAGGUAUUGCUGUAUAGGAAAAUUUUACCUAAUUAAAGAUGGGGAAGAACUAUAGAAAAUUCUCCAAGAUCAGAGCUGCCAUUCAAAAGAAAAAGUCAUACUGGGGUUCAAAAUCCCUCCAGAAACUGUUUCACUCCAUUAAAAAAAAAAAAAAAAAAGUAUUUGAAGCCUGGAGGAAGAAUACAAUUUAAGAGAGUUUUUACCUUAAGUGAUGUACCCAACAAGGCCUUAUGUAUGCUGCAACAAGCUACAGUACCUGCAGGGUGCUUAUCUACCAUGGAAGUCUUCUAUUAUCUCAUUCUUUACAUGAAUGAAAGUUGAAUAAAGUUUCUUCUUUCUCAGAAACCAUUACACUGAUUUGACUGGGUCUGGAAGUAGCAGAAUGUUUUCCACCCAAUUAUUUUCAACUGAUUGAGAAUGUAUUACUUUACUCAUAGGCACUUUGGAGUUUCAAUGACUAUGUGAAGGACAGUACUUCCAGUAACAUUUAGAAACAUUCUGAGUGGAGAGAAGAUGAAAAGAAAAACCAAAACCAAAAACAAAACCACAACCAAGCAAAACACUUAGUUGUUUAAAAAUGCAUCCAUUUUCUCAUGUUUUGUUUUUUUUUUUUUCUUCUGGAAAUCAAUGCUGCAAGUUAUUGUUGUUAAUUGUAAUGAGAUCAUAAGUUUAGAAAACAUUCCCUCAUAAAAAAACAAAUGUCUUUUAAUAAAGUAUGAGAAUUGUGGAAUGACUAUUGGUAAUAAAAAUGAAAUCUGACAAAGAAUACAGAAUAGCCACAGUGGGGAUAACAGAUAUAUUUCUUUGGAACUGUUAGCUGCAUUAACAUCAUAUAAAACUGUGUUCUAAGAUAUCUGAGUUCUAUGUGAAGGAUCAUAUGUAAAUUUUAACUAAACUGGAGCCAUUAUAUUAUCAUAGGUACAAUGUGCUAGAUAGAAGGCUGUUUCACAUCCACUGAAUAGAUGUGUAUGUUCAUGCAUGUAUGCAUAGCUGUAUGUCUAUAAAUAUAUUCAUAUGUUUAGAGAAAACUUGAACUGGUGGAAAACUGAAAGGACAGGAGGAAAGCAUAGUUUGACUAAAAAGCUAGUUGUUCCAUCUUUCUGUUUCUUUAUUCACCAUAUUUACAUUUUAAUCAGAAGUUGGACUCAAUCCUUAGGCAUCCCUUCCAACACGGGAUAUUCUAUGAUUCUAUGAUUCUAUAUUUAUUUCCCUGCUCACUUCUUUUGUAUAAAACCUACUUUCUAAUUCAGUUGGGUAACUCAUCUUUAAUAUUAUUUUAACAGAUCUUGUCUUACUUUCAUGGAGUAGUCACAGCAAAGGUUGCAUUGUAAAAGAAAAUUGCCUCACUACUGCACUGGGUUUUCUAAUUAGUAUAUCUGGUACCACCAUUGGAUAUUUGGAGAAGAAGAAAAGAGAGAGGAAAGAGAGACCACUGUUAAUCACCCCUUACUAGUAGUUGAGGCCCUCAACUUGUUAUUUAAUUUUCAGUUUUACAUACCUCGAUUUCAGAAAACAAAUGAUAGAAAAAGAACCUCAGCUGCAUACCCCGGCUUGCAGGCAAACCUCUUCUAUAAAUAUGUGACCAUUUUAUGAAACUGUAUGGAAGAGAAAAUACGACUAUGAACUUAUGAACAUGUCGAGUGUUUCCCAAAAGAGUUUUAUGGUUUUAUGAUCUAUGAGUUGAAUCAACUCAAAGGAAACUUGAUUUUAUUAAGAACAGCAUCUCAGAACUCAUCUGUGGGUUUGGAUUUCCAACACACUCCUGUAAAUUUGUUGAAUUAUUUAUUUGCAGUGAUGAGACGAGAACAGGAUUCUUCAAGUGGGCUGUACAGUUUGCAUGUCUUACAAAAAAUCUGAUCCAGAAAGACAGAUCUCCAUCAUUCUUAUAUAAGUCUUUUAUAAAUUUGCCCACUGUUAUUGUAAAAUUAGUCUUUUUACAGGAGUGAAAUUUCAAAUUGCUGAAACACUUUCCUGUAGAAUCAUGAAGUGAGAAGAAAAAAUUGAGAAGUAUUUCUGCCUGUAUGAGGAAACACAUGAGCACUGAUACAGAAGGUAUCAAGCCAGCUUGCUGACCAUUGCUUCUAGGACAGCUGGAAGGUCAUGGGAAAUAUUCCACUUCACCAUUCCAAAAUCCUUGCCAUUCCAGUUUGCCUCUUUUCAUUAUUUUUAUUAUACAGAAGCCCAGCAUGUUGUUAGGUCUUUGACAAGGAUUUGAACAAAAUUUAAUAUAUAACUACAUUAUUGAAGGAGUCAUAGAAUUAUAGAAUCAUAGAAUGGUUUGUCUUGAAAGGGUUUCUUAAGAUCCCUAGUUCCAACCUCUCUGCUAUAAGCAGGGACAUCUCCUACUAGACCAGGUUCCUACAUGCCCUCAUAAAAAGUGGCCUGAUAGCUGCCUUUCAGUAUCUAAGGGGGACCUACAGGAGAGAAGGGGACAGACUCUUUGGCAGGGUCUGUGAUGAUAGAAAAAGGGGAAAUGAUUUCAAACUAAAAGAGAGGAUAUAAGGAAAAAGUCUUUUACAGUGAGGAUGGUGAGGCAUUGUAACAUAUUUCCCUGAGAAAUGGUGGAUUCCCUCUCCCUGGAGACACUGAAGAUCAGGUUGGAGGAGUUCUAAGCAACAUGAUCUACCUUUGGAUAUCCUUUUUCAUUGCAAGGAUGACCGUUAAGGGUUCCUUCCUACUCAAAUGAUAUAUGAACUUGAGCACACCCUUUCUUUCUUCCACGAUUACCCACGGAAUAUGAAAGUAAUAGAAUGUCUACUGCAUACUUGCUUUCCUUACCCCUGCCUCUCCCCAGGUUUUGCAGAUUGUAUCUGCAGUUGCAUUUUUCAUCACUUCCUCUUGAGAUUGUGGGAAAGUGAGGACAAAGUAUGACAUUAAAAACAAUUUGACUCUAAAAGGAAAAAAUAAACCAGACUAUUGCUAGGAAAACAUUAUUGAAAAUCCUAUGAAAAUAUAAAUACAAUUUAUUUUGGUAUCCUUAAUCCUCUUAAAAUGGAAGAAUUAAGCCCAAGAAGCUGUUUAACUGCAUGUAGAAAUCAUGGUGAAUUUAUCUUCAUUGGGUGACCUCAUCAAAUUAUUCUCCACUGCUGUGAUUUUUUUUGAAGACAGCUCAAUAACAUUUGACUCCCAGUUCCCAUUAGAAUUUAAUGAGAACUGGGCCUCUAAGUCCCCCAGAUUCCUUUGAAAAUAACCCAGCCUAUGAUAAAAUAAUACAGUUCUGUGCAUCCUUAAUUUCUGACAGCAUGUUCAUGUCUGGAAUAUUGAUUGCAACUGCUACUGCCAAGCACACAGAUCCCAUCACUCUUGCCUGCUUUUCCAUUAUGUCAUAAAUAGAUAGCACAGCUCAAUAGAUCAUACAGAUAGAUGGAGCUGGACUACUUACAUGGACUUGCAGGAAAAAACAACUAAUAAUAACCAAGUAUCUAACUUGAUUGGACAAAUUACUUGAAUGAUUUUUAAAAGCUCUGAAAUGAGUAACUUCGAAGAGUGAAUAACGGCGAAAACAAGGCCAGGUCCAACAGUAGUAAUUAGAUUCAAGUAAAAAAUAAAACUCAAUUGGAAAGUUUUAAAGUCUUUGUAUUAUGCAAGUAACCUGGCAAGUUUGUGGUACCAGAAAUGGGAGUUCAAUUAAAUAUUUGGAAAGCCAAAAAAAAAAAAAAAAAAAAAAAAAAACAACCCAAAAAACAAAAAACAAACAAACAAAACAAAACCCAAAACCCAAAACAAACAAAACAACAACAAAAAACCAGACAUGCAAGCAGAAUCAUUUAGUAUCCUGCUAAGCUGAAAACACAUUCAAACUAAAACGAGAACUCAGGUGGUUGAAUAAGCAAUAGGAAAAAAGGAACAGAGUUGUCAAAAUAAAAUAUAUUUCAGACUGACUUGAGUAAAAUUUUAAUCCUUGAUUUCAUUUUUCGUGUUUGUACAUUUGUUCCCAGCAGUAAAAUCACAACAUCAUUUCACAGAAAGGUAAGGAAAGGAAAGGAAAGGCAAAGAAAAAGUGCUGGUGAUUCAGCCUCCAGGCUCUCCAUAAAACCUACUAGGAAGCAGAAUGCAAAGUUGUUUUUGUAUGUCCUACUGUGACUUAUCAUGUUAUUAGAAGUCUAUUUCCUCAUCUUUCUGGGGAAAAAAAAGAAAAAAGGGACAACUCAGGAAGAUCACUGUUGGGCUUCAUUCUUCCAUGGAAUUAAAAAAAACGAAACAAAACAAAAAAAAUCCAAAGCAAACAACAAAAAAAGCAACCUGUACUCAGCAGCUAUGGUUUGCAACACUGCACCAAGAUUAGGUUAGAUAUUCAUUUUAAGAGCAGGCCAUUACUUUUGCAGUACUUCUGCAGGAGUAAGACUAAGGAAAUAGCCUAACAGAUCUCAUUCAUAUGCAGCAACUCACCAGUCUCAAUAGAUAGGAUUAACUUGGAUUCUUCACAGGGAAUCCAAUUUCAUAAUUAUUUUGUUUAGUUUUAUCAUUUUAUUUUAUUUUUACUUUAUUUAAUGAAUUUAAAUGAAAAUAUCUAGAAAUCUAUCAGGAACUGGGACUCCAUUUUGUCCCCUGUAUGUGGGGCCUACUAUAAAACUGCAAAACCAAAAUUGUGGUUCAUAUUCUUUUAACAUCUCCAAUCUAAAGAGGAAAGAUAAAACUGAGAUACAGAGGAUUUGGUGUCCAAGGAGCCAGUGGAAUGCCUAAGGGCAGUUUAAAGCAAACUUGAAUGUUUACACAGUCUCAAACCACCCUUCUUUUCUGAACACACCAGGGGAGACAAAAUUUGUCAUCCUAGCAGGCAGGAGUGUAAGUACAUCUCCUGCAUACCUGCUGCCAAAGGGUAUUUGUAUGUUUGAAAGUUACUGCGGCAAAAGAAUGUCAAGCAAUGACUUAAAGACUGAUGAAGUGCUUUCUGGACAUCACUGAUGAAGUUCUCCUUAAAGCAGGUGGCCUAGCAUCAAACAAAAUAUAAAUAUACCUGCUGGAAAAAUAGAAUGAUUAGUUAACACCAUAGGGCAAACAAAUGUUAAACUGACCUCAAGUCCAAAGGAGAGAUGAAAGACAGAUGGGGGCUGGUGAAUGCACUUGAUAAUGUUGUUGGGAGCCUUAAAUCUGGUGGACAGAGAAACAGGAACCUUUGGAUGGAUGGAUGCAUAGGGUGACAAGGAUGAAACUAUGGAAAUCUGAAAUACUACCUCCUGGUACAUUUGCAUUUCAGGAAUCUGAGCACUUAAAUAGAGAGAGGCAGUGGCGAUGAAAUGGAAGAUAAGUUUUACUCAUGAAUUAGUUGUAAUCAUCUGUAAUAUUGUGUUAGCUGGAGAGCAAACGUUUAGGAGCAUGAUCAGGAAGAUUAGUUGAUUUUCCACUUGUAUCAUAUAACGUAUGAAUACAACAAAUUCUGCAACAUAUUAAAUAUAUAUGGAAUUAUUUUAUUUUAUUUUAACUUAUAGCAAAGGUGAUUUACUUCUUUACACAAGAAAGAUUCCUAUGACUAUUUGUAGUCAUAGAACUUAGCAGUCUAAGUUCCAAAGUUGAAACUUUAAUUGGAACUAUAGGAAAUCUCCUCUGAUAGCUCUGAUAAUAGAUAGCUCCUCUGAUACAUCUAACCAGUAAUAAUUUCACAUCUAUAGAUUUUUGAUGUGGCCUUUUAAUGUACUUUUGGAUCCUCCUGCAUGAUGAUGAUUCUGGUCUUGCAAGCUGCUGUGUGUAGGCAGCCCCUGACACCAGAGACCACUGCUGUGGGAGUUAGAAAGUCUGUGCUCAGAUGGAAAGGUCAAACUGCACAGAAUAGCUUGCAGGUUCAGAAGCCUGCCUGAAAUACUCUCAGCUUAGAACAAACCUGAAUUACUUUGUGAGUAUGAAACAUUUAACACGAGAGCCUGCAAAAAGUGGUAAAGGUUUUGUAUAUAGCUGUCUAAGAUGAGCUAACCUAAGACUUAAUUAGCUAUAAUAUACAAAGAAACCCUUUUUAAUAAAUAAUUAAAUAAUUAAAAUCCUGGCCUGUGACAGUAGCAAAAUCAGUUUUGCAGUUGGAAGUCUACUUCUGUGCUUUCUUUAUUAUUAAAUACAUCAUUUUAAGAAGGCAAUUUUGAACUGAAUAGAUGUGAAUCUAAGAACACCAAAACCCACUUUGUGUCUUGAUAGAAACAUUUUUUUUGUGUGUUUUGAUCCUGGAAAUUUCACAUCUCUCUUUUAACUUUCUUAAGAAAUAACAUUACUUCUGUUUCUCCAGUCGUUUACUUGCUUAAACUCCAGAGCAUACUGGUGUGCUGCAUAAUUGGAACAAAGCUUAAUAUUGUAAAUAAAAACCUUUACCUCCAAAUCUGCAGAGGAACUGUAUUUAAAGAAAUGAAACAAAAUAGAAUUUAAAUGCUUAAAUACAAGAUAAUGUUUAGAAACUUUAGCUGCCCACAAUCAAACAUUCCCAGCUGAAGUUUGAUUACUUUGGCUUGCAUUUAUCUGAUACUAAAAAAAAUAAGGAUUGGUUGUCAUCGAGGUAUUGGAAAGUGACAAAUAUAAUAUAAUUUCUAAAAAGAAUGACCAUCAACCCAGUACUGCAUACAGUAUGGAUGAAAGAAAGCCCUUUUUACCUAGCUUCAAAUUCCCCACAGCCUUCUGGAUUUUACAUAUUUACCACAGGUACUCAUAGAACUGAGUUGUUUGAAAUGUGAAAAUGUCUGAAUGUGUUUUCAGGAGCAGCCUGAAUAAUGUGGACAACACAUCAACAGAGAGCAAAACUAAUACAGAUACACUGAAUAAAAAGGACAGAGAGGGAGAAAAAGAUGUAGAUGAAAAUGCAUAACAACAGGGCAUAAAAACAGUGUCAAUAUCCUUAUCUAUUUAAUUAAUGUUGGAAAUAAGUUUAGUUACAAAUUAUGCAAUAAUAAUUAAUUAACAAUCUAA